rnacentral:rRNA from 1 species
ACGAACGCUGGCGGCGUGCUUAACACAUGCAAGUCGAACGGAAAGGCCCUGCUUUUGUGGGGUGCUCGAGUGGCGAACGGGUGGGUAACACGUGAGUAACCUGCCCUUGACUUUGGGAUAACUUCAGGAAACUGGGGCUAAUACCGGAUAGGAGCUCCUGCUGCAUGGUGGGGGUUGGAAAGUUUCGGCGGUUGGGGAUGGACUCGCGGCUUAUCAGCUUGUUGGUGGGGUAGUGGCUUACCAAGGCUUUGACGGGUAGCCGGCCUGAGAGGGUGACCGGCCACAAUGGGACUGAGAUACGGCCCAGACUCCUACGGGAGGCAGCAGCGGGGAAUAUUGCACAAUGAGCGGAAGCCUGAUGCAGCAACGCCGCGUGCGGGAUGACGGCCUUCGGGUUGUAAACCGCUUUCGCCUGUGACGAAGCGUGAGUGACGGUAAUGGGUAAAGAAGCACCGGCUAACUACGUG